rnacentral:rRNA from 1 species
AAUAUCCUACGGGGGGCAGCAGUAGGGAAUCUUCGGCAAUGGACGAAAGUCUGACCGAGCAACGCCGCGUGAGUGAAGAAGGUUUUCGGAUCGUAAAACUCUGUUGGUAGAGAAGAACGUUGGUGAGAGUGGAAAGCUCAUCAAGUGACGGUAACUACCCAGAAAGGGACGGCUAACUACGUGCCAGCAGCCGCGGUAAUACGUAGGUCCCGAGCGUUGUCCGGAUUUAUUGGGCGUAAAGCGAGCGCAGGUGGUUUAUUAAGUCCGGUGUAACAGACAGUGGCACAACCAUUGUAUGCAUGGGA